AGGUGAUAUAAAAAGUUUUUAACUGUUCGAUAUUCUAUAUAUCUUCCAGACAACUGAAAUGUUGAAAACAUCACAAAACAAGAUGUUUGCAGCUUUGAAGUAUCACUCAACAGACUAUUUAUAUGAGAGCAUGGCCAGACAGAAGUUUUCCAUCUGGAAGUUAUCACUUUGCUUUCCUCCCUGCUUACAUCAAGAUGAAAAGUAUCAUCUCAAUGGACUCUUUGCUGAUGAUAAGUAUAGGAAGCCAUGGACUAGAAUUGGUUCAACACGGAACAUGAUUGCUAUUUCAGUAUUGGAUCAAUGGAAGAAAAGUUUGCCUGUGGAGGAUUUCCUGGAAAAGUCAGUAACUUUAAGUUAAACACAUUUAUGAUUUCUUUGAUAUCAUUCAGGU
rnacentral:lncRNA from 1 species